AUACGGAGGGUGCAGGCGUUGUUCGGAAUCACUGGGCGUAAAGGGCGCGCAGGCGGUUUGGUAAGUCAGAUGUGAAAGCCCACGGCUCAACCGUGGAAGUGCAUUUGAAACUGCCAGACUUGAGUACCAGAGGGGAAAGUGGAAUUCCCGGUGUAGAGGUGAAAUUCGUAGAUAUCGGGAGGAAUACCGGUGGCGAAGGCGACUUUCUGGCUGGAUACUGACGCUGAGGCGCGAAAGCGUGGGGAGCAAACAGGAUUAGAAACCCCAGUAGUCC
rnacentral:rRNA from 1 species